rnacentral:lncRNA from 1 species
AUUUCUCUUCUGCAGGAAACGCUCAGAGCCAAAUGCAAGGUGCACUUAGGUGCCACCUCCCAGAGGUCUGAGCACCAUGCUGAUGUCUUCUGUCUCCAUAGCUCAAAAACUAGUGCUAUAAAGUGGAGCAAGACUUGGUGUUCACAGACACCCUCAGCCCAGAUUGGUGGCUUCCAGCUCUCAGUGCUCCUGUGUUCUGGCUGUUGGUUGUCAGCCCUGACUUACUCCCUUGAGGGCAAAUGGAUGUUUCAGAGGUACCCCACAGCGUCCUGCCUGCAAAAGGCAGGUGAAGAGGCAGAGAUGGCUGGGUUCUUUGCCAGCAAUCAGACAAUUCUUUCAUGUUACUCCUGCAUGCGAGGAGUAUAUAUAGUUAUUGCCAGGGAUGCUACUGACUGGAUGCUGCCUACUUGAAUUGGACCUGCUGUUUAAUUUCAGUGGGAGAAGGAGGUAAAAAAAAUUGAUUUCAUUAAAUCCAGGACCAGUUGAAAAGUUUCCACAAAUGUAAUCUGAAAAUCUAUUUCUAGGAAAAUAGCUGUUCUAAACCAAGCAGCUCCCCUGCAGUUCUUGAGAUUCAAGCAUUCCAGCAUGAACUGGGGCAAAAAAGUCCAUAGAAUCUAGUAUAAAACUGUAGGUUUCAAUAAAUUCCAUAGGGAGUCUGAUAUGUGGGCAUUUUAAAGGGGUUGCUAUUAUGAAACUGGUGGUAACACCCUUCCAACUUCCUGAAUAAAUGAGUUUUGUCAGCAAUAGGGUUUCUUAGGCAAACAGUCAAUGUGUUUUGAUGAUUAAAAACGGGAGAUGGUGUAUGUACUAACAGAUACCAGCACGUGAUAGCAGUAAUCAGGGAAGUGGGAAGCUUGGAAAUAAACAAACACGCUGUCUCUGCUGGCACAGGAAUAACCCUGGAGACUGCCAAGGCCAGAGUCUGUAAAAAUAAGAAAGUAUAAUUAAUUGUCCUUAAAUGAACCUACCAAGCAAAAAUAACACUUUUAAAGCAAACUCCCCUCUUUGCAUCUUUCAUUAUAGAGCUGUUCCACAUG